CCUCUUAUUCCUCGUAUCGCUCUGUAAUGACGUCGGAGCUAUCGUCGGCGGUGAACGAUACCUACGCUAAUCCGUCUCGAAUUCACACCAUAGAUUCCCCAUGAAUCCCUCUUUCCAACCAUGCCACUGAUUUCCCUAGAAUCUCACCAGAGCUCGUCGAAUAUCCAUUGAAAUAUUUUCUGGCCAUGACGCAACCAGUUCCAAACGACACCAAAUUUACACCCUAGAACCGCCAUAAUCUCCUCUACCCAACCCCUAACGUCUUGACUUCGAAUCUUGCCGGAGCUACUCGAAUCUUCAUUUAAGCUAUUUCUAGCCAAAACCCUAAACACUCCAAAUGGUACCAAAUUGGCGCAUUAUGGUCUUCUCAUCAUUAUCAUGAUGAAUUCCUUACUCAUGGCGUUCGAAUGUCAUCGGAAAAGGGUGGAUUUGGGAAAAUGUGGUUGACUAAUUGGGCUUCUUGCUAGUAAGUUCUUCUGCGUUGUUUCCUUUUUACUUUUCUGUUGAUAUUUUUUUAAGUUGUUAUUAACCCUUAAUAGAAAAAUUAGUAAAAAGCUUCUCCAGUUUUGAUUUUGUUUUACUCUGUUCAUAGGUUUAAAUUGUUAGUUUAGUGUUUGUUCGAAUUUGUUAAGUAAGUGCAUUUGGGUAUUAAUGAAAGUUAGUUCUGCUUGAUUCAGUAAUUAAUUCUAAUGACCCGACCUGCAUCUUCGCCCCGAUUUUCCCGUUCCAUGCUUCUAUAUGUUUCAUUAUAUGUGUUUGGUGAAUUUGAAGUAAUUCGGAUAGAGUUCGGUUAGAAAUAAGACAAUUAGUUUGUUUAAGAGAAGGUUAGCUUGGAAAAGUCAAUCGGAUGUUGACUUGUGAGUUAGAGGGCUCAAAAUGGAUUCCGAUGAUUUUUCUAGUUUCGGGUGAUGAUUUAAGGCUUAAAGGUGCAAUCGGAAUUGAAUUUGGAGAUCCGGUGCAGAAUUAGGCUUGAAUUGGCUAAGUUUGAAUUUUGGCGAAUUCCGAUUGAUAGGUGAGAUUUUGAUCCGGGGGUCGAGUUGGAAUUCCGACAGUUGCAGCAGCUCCAUUAGGUGAUUUUGGAUAUGCGUGCAAAGUUUCAGAUCAUUCGUAGGUGUUUAGGUCGGGUUUUUUUAUCAAAUGCUAGUUUCGGAAGUUUUAGUUUGACUUAGGCUUGAAUCCGUGGUGAUUUGACGAUUUUGUUGUAGACGAUAGUGUUUUCAUGCUACGAGCAAGUUUAAAUGAAGUAAUAGAACAUAUCUGUGCAUUUGGUUGAGGUCCCGAGGGCCUCGGGGUGAUUUCGGAUGGCUAACGGGGAAUUUUGAACAUGAAUAGUGCAGCAAAAAUUUCAGAGCAGAAUUGCUCUCUGCGAUCGCAAGACUGGGGCUACAAUCGCAUAGAAGGUUCUGAAGGGGGUGCUAAUUUGGUCUCUGCGAUCGCGUAGGCUUAAGUGUUUGGUUAGUGCGAUCGCGUAAGAGCGCGUGCGAUCACGUAGGGUCUUUGGAUAGUGUUCUGCGAUCGCAUGGUCUUACCUACGAUUGCGUACGGGGAAUUUGAGGGCCUGGAUUUUUGGUCAAUGUGAUCGCAUAGAGAAAUCUCUACAAUAGUCGGACAGAAUGUUUAAAAACCCAUUGGUCCGCGACCCACAUCAUUUUUCCACCAUUGUUACUCCGCCAAGAGAGCUUUCUGACCGAUUUGAAGAGGGUUUUCGACGGGUUUUGAUUUAAGGUAAGUCUCUUGACUUAGAAACACCAUUUUAUCGAAGAAUCAACACUCAAAUUCAUGAAAGUGGGUUGAAAUUAUGAAGAAUUAGGGCUUGAUUUUUGAAAACGAAUUUUUAGGAUUUGAAAGGCCAUUUGAACUCCACUUUUGGUUAACUUUAUAUGUACGGACUCGUGGAAAGACGAGGAAUCCGUUGAUGUAAUUAUCAAUUUUUUUUUGAAAAGUGGGCCUCGGGGCUCGGGUUUUACCAAUUUCGUGAAUUUUAGUACUUUUCAAGUAUUUUUGAUUGGGUUAUGUUUCUUUAGCCCAUAUUUAUGUAUUUAUUGUGAUUUUGACUAGAUUCGACGUGCGAGGAGGUAGAUACAAAAUGAAAAAGCAUUGUGGACCAGCCUACGAUCGGUUAGAGGUGAGUAGUUUGUAUAGAUGAUGGCCUGAGGGUUUGAAACCCCGGUAUAUCACAUUGUGACGCUAUAUUAGGGCGUGACUCGCACCCCAUGGCAGGUGCGGAAAUAUUUAUGACUGGGGAUUUGUGACUUGGCCCAUCCCAAACAAGAAUUAUACCGUAUUGGCAAUUGAUACACACCCUAUAUUGAAUAUAUCUGGGCUUAUUGACAUGUUUGGGGCCUUGUGCCGAUUUGUAGCAUCCGUCUAGGAUGAAUAUCAUUGUGAUAGCAUGAUUUGCAUAAUCAUUGAUCUCGGUCCUAUGUUUAAUCAUUGUAAUGAAAUGCUAAGUCACCUUUCCUGAAAUUAAUCAGUGGAUGAAUAUAAUUUUGAUAGCAUGCUUGUAUAAUCAUUAUUCUCAGUCCUGUGUUUAAUCACUGUUAUGAAUUGCCAAGUCACUUUUCCUGAAGUUAAAUAACUAAGUUAUAUUCUUCUUAAUCAUUGGAAUUUGGGAAAUUAAUUGAAUAUGUUAUGUGACUCAUAUGCAUAAUGUGAACUGAGUAUGGAUCGGGGCUGCACGUUGCAGUGAUGAUAUGGUGGUAUUGCGCUUGGGCUGUAGGAGCCCUUCCGGAGUCUGUACAUCCCCCAGUGAGCGCCGUCUACGUUAAAUGGAUCGGACUGUAUGUCGCAACGGGUCAUGUGCAUUGCAUUGCAUUCUUGUAUUAUACUUGACUGAUAUACUUGAUAUUGUUUUACUGUUGGUUCAUUGUUAAUGUGUCGGACUGUUAGUUUUAGCUUUACUUUGUGGCAUUUUGUGGAUUCUUAUCUUCAGACAUUUUAUAUACUUAUUACUCACUGAGUUGGUAGUACUCACCCCUACUCCCUGCACCUUGUGUGCAG
rnacentral:lncRNA from 1 species